GACGGCAGCGAGAGCUGCUUCGCCGCCGGCGGCAGAGCAGCUCGAUCGUAAAGUUAAUCCCUGGAACAUCCUGCAAGAUGACACGAACGACGAGCUGCCGAUGGCAAGGACGCACUCGCUUCAGCGUUUCCUGGAGAAGCGCCGUGAAAGGAUGAUGGAGAGAUCCCCUCACAACUAUUAUUCAGCAAACUCCUUGUACGUGGAAGGGCCGUCUCAUGCUCAAGGGAUGCCUCCUCCAUUUGCCUAGCUUCGGUACGUUGCAAACUUGCAGAACCAUGAACUUACUGC